rnacentral:rRNA from 1 species
GAUGAACGCUAGCUACAGGCUUAACACAUGCAAGUCGAGGGGCAGCAUGACGAUAGCUUGCUAUUGUUGAUGGCGACCGGCGCACGGGUGAGUAACGCGUAUCCAACCUGCCCUUGUCCAUCGGAUAACCCGUCUAAAGGCGGACUAACACGAUAUGCAGUUCUCUGCAGGCAUCUAACGAGAACGAAAUGUAAAGGAGAAGGAUGGGGAUGCGUCUGAUUAGCUUGUUGGCGGGGUAACGGCCCACCAAGGCGACGAUCAGUAGGGGUUCUGGGAGGAAGGUCCCCCACAUUGGAACUGAGCCACGGUCAAAACUCCUACGGGAGGCAGCAGGGAGGAAUAUUGGUCAAUGGGCGAGAGCCUGAACCAGCCAAGUAGCGUGCAGGAUGACGGCCCUAUGGGUUGUAAACUGCUUUUAUACGGGGAUAAAGUGAGCCACGUGUGGCUUAUUGCAGGUACCGUAUGAAUAAGGACCGGCUAAUUCCGUGCCAGCCGCCGCCGUAA